rnacentral:misc_RNA from 1 species
GAUGAAGAACGUAGCGAAAUGCGAUAACUAAUGUGAAUUGCAGAAUUCAGUGAAUCAUCGAGUCUUUGAACGCACAUUGCGCCCCCUGGUAUUCCGGGGGGCAUGCCUGUCCGAGCGUCAUUGCUGCCCUCAAGCACGGCUUGUGUGUUGGGCUCCGCCCCCCCGGGGACGGGUCCGAAAGGCAGCGGCGGCACCGAGUCCGGUCCUCGAGCGUAUGGGGCUUUGUCACCCGCUCUGUAGGCCCGGCCGGCGCCAGCCGACAACCAAUCAUCCUUUUUUCAGGUUGACCUCGGAUCAGGUAGGGAUACCCGCUGAACUUAAGCAUAUCAAUAAGCGGAGGA